rnacentral:rRNA from 1 species
AGCGAACGCUGGCGGCAGGCUUAACACAUGCAAGUCGAGCGGGCGUAGGCAAGUACGUCAGCGGCAGACGGGUGAGUAACGCGUGGGAACGUACCUUUUGGUUCGGAACAACACAGGGAAACCUGUGCUAAUACCGCAUAAGCCCACGACCCGGCAUCGGGUUGAGGGAAAAGGAGUGAUCCGCUUUGAGAUGGCCUCGCGUCCGAUUAGCUAGUUGGUGAGGUAACGGCCCACCAAGGCGACGAUCGGUAGCCGGACUGAGAGGUUGAACGGCCACAUUGGGACUGAGACACGGCCCAG